ACUGGUGGAUGUUCUUGUCCAGGGCUGUGUCCCCAGCAAUCCUGGAGCAAGACAGAAGUCAGCCAGGGCACCCCUAUCCCCUGGCUGCUGUGGGGGUCCUUCUCCAUCAGAUGCUGGAUAAAGUCCUUGGCUGGAACAGAGCAUGGAGCAGCUCUGAGUGUCCUCUAUUCCUCUGGGUACUGUGAAGCUGUGCCAGGCUCACAGGCCUCACUGCUCUGGUGGUCCCAGCUCACCUGACUCCGAGAUAUCAUCCCAGUAGGGUAUUUGACGGCGUCGAGGAUCUGCCGGAUCAGGGCACUGGCGUCCCGCUCGGUGUAGAAGCCCUUCUCCACAAUGCGGUCAAAGAGUUCCCCCCCCGAGACCCUGCAGGGAUGUGAGCAGCACCUGUCAGCAUGGCCCCCCCACCCCUCAGGAGCCCCACAACGUCACUCACAGCUGCAUGAUGAGGUAGAGUGCCUUCUUGGCAAUGCACUUGAUGGCCACGAGCUUCCCUGUCGCCUUCUCCUCUGCCAGGACCACCUCGGAGAAGGCCCCCCUGGGGGGGUGAGGGAUGAGCAGGGCACGGCGGCCACCAGCCGAAGCGGAGCUGCCAGUGCCGCCAUGCCACGAUUGUCAUGGCGACAGGCAGAAAGUCCAGCUAUUUAUAGGAGAAAAGCAAGCAGGAGCGGCUGGCUGGGAUGGCCGGACAUGGACCCCGCCAGCGAUAGGAUGCCUGGAACCCUCCGCCCUCCCAGUGUGGCUGCACCAUCCCCAUAUCAGGCAGGGUAAGGCUGUGGUGUUGCUGAGGUCUAGCUGUGCUGGGGCUGAGCCCCCAUGUGGGCUGCAGUAGCUCUCUGCUGUGCCAUCCUGUAGAACCCAGGGCCACCCAGGAGCCAGCCAGAGCUGUAGGCAGUGCCCAGGUGGGGAAGAGACAGGAGGGACAGGCAGGGUGUUCGCGCUGUGCUGGGCCCUAAGCCCUGACAUAAUUAACCUGCUAAUCCAGCCUAAGAGCCUUACCAUGCUGUGGGCACUGCCAGGAACCCCUCUGCCAGCCAGGGGACCACCUUCAGGUACCCUCAGCACAGCCUAGGAACCAGCCAGUGCCAGAGGGAGGUGGCACCUGUGCCCCACAGCAUGUCCCCUCAUAUGCAAGUCCCACCUUGGGCAAAGAUUUGAGCUGGUUCCAUAUGGAAGGCUGGGCAAAGCCCGAGGGGCCAGACCCAUCACCACAAGUGGGCUGUCACUGGUGUGUCACCCCAGCCUGCA